GCCGGACCUGACUGCUAUCGGAUUGAUACUAAGCCAUGCGAGUCAUUGUAGCAAUACAAGGCAUACGGCUCAGUAACGCGUAGUCAACCUACCCCAUGGACGGGAAUAACCUCGGGAAACUGAGUAUAAUGCCCGAUAGAACAUUAUGCCUGGAAGGGUUUAUGUUCCAAAUGAUUUAUCGCCGUAGGAUGGGACUGCGGCCUAUCAGUUUGUUGGUGAGGUAAUGGCCCACCAAGACUAUUACAGGUACGGGCUCUGAGAGGAGUAGCCCGGAGAUGGGUACUGAGACACGGACCCAGGCCCUAUGGGGCGCAGCAGGCGAGAAAACUUUGCAAUGUGCGAAAGCACGACAAGGUUAAUCCGAGUGGUUUCUGCUAAAGGAACCUUUUGUUAGUCCUAAAAACACUAACGAAUAAGGGGUGGGCAAGUUCUGGUGUCAGCCGCCGCGGUAAAGCCAGCACCUCAAGUGGUCAGGAUGAUUAUUGGGCCUAAAGCAUCCGUAGCCUGCCCUGUAAGUUUUCGGUUAAAUCUGUAUGCUCAACAUACAGGCCGCCGGGAAUACUGCAGGGCUAGGGAGUGGGAGAGGUAGACGGUACUCGGGAGGAAGUGGUAAAAUGCUUUGAUCUCUCGAUGACCACCUGUGGCGAAGGCGGUCUACCAGAACACGUCCGACGGUGAGGGAUGAAAGCUGGGGGAGCAAACCGGAUUAGAUACCCGGGUAGUCCCAGCCGUAAACUAUGCAAACUCAGUGAUGCAUUGGCUUGUGGCCAAUGCAGUGUUGCAGGGAAGCCGUUAAGUUUGCCGCCUGGGAAGUACGUACGCAAGUAUGAAACUUAAAGGAAUUGGCGG
rnacentral:rRNA from 1 species